ACAGUGCCAGGGGGAGACAGCAUGAUCACAAAGGUUGUUUUCCCAGGGUGAGAGUCAUCCAUUGCACUUCAGAUGUGCUGACCUCUGCAAUUUCCCCAAAUGCAGGAAACUCAACUACAUAAUUUGUGGUAGUGGUCUGAGUGUUGGACUAGGACUC